rnacentral:rRNA from 1 species
UACGAAGGGGGCUAGCGUUGUUCGGAAUCACUGGGCGUAAAGGGCGCGUAGGCGGCCGGUCAAGUCGGGGGUGAAAGCCUGUGGCUCAACCACAGAAUGGCCUUCGAUACUGGACGGCUCGAGACCGGAAGAGGUGAGUGGAACUGCGAGUGUAGAGGUGAAAUUCGUAGAUAUUCGCAAGAACACCAGUGGCGAAGGCGGCUCACUGGUCUGGUUCUGACGCUGAGGCGCGAAAGCGUGGGGAGCAAACAGG